ACCGGAGAACACCCGCACGCACGCACACAGUUUUUAACGGAUCAGCGCUAGAUCACUAAGCUGACGACACGGUCCACACAACUUACGGGUUUUUGUUUCUCUCCGCGUCGGGAAAAAAAAGAAGUAGUGUUACUUUGACCGUUUCUUUUUUUUUUCAUUUGAAACUAAAUCUUUGACCGUUUCUUCUUUCUUACGAAAACGCGAAUAUAAUUGAAAUUUCAUUUUUA